CUAAUCCAAUGUCUAAUUUUGAGUUGUAUGGAAGUGCCCUUACCUUAAGUACUCUCCUUCUUAGUGCUUAGAAAAUCUACCCAAUUGCCGGAACAAGACUUCAAGAAUUAUCCUCCACCGAAGAGUACUAAUGGAUGGUUCAAAUUCUAGGAAAAUUGGUUAUUCUAAUGGUUCUUCUUCAACGGUUUUCGACGAAUUUUUUGAAGAAUUUGGCUUCUGGUUCUGGUUCUAAAAGUGGUUUUGAUAAGUAGGUUCCUUCAAGUGCUGGUUCUUCUACCUUGGUUCAUGUUGAGAAAGAUGUUUCUGCCAAGGGUUCUGAAUUGUUUACAAGAGAUGAUAGUUAUGUGAGCAAGUCCAAGUCUACAUUCUACCAUAAUUGGUUUGGAUUCAUCAUUAAAAUCCACAACUGUUGCAGGUCAAGAUGGUGAUAAGUUGAGUUUGAUUAAACUUGCUAGCAUAAUUGAGGUUUCUGCAAAGAAAGGAACUCGUGAUCUCAAGCUCCAGGGCAAGUUGAUGGACCAAGUUGAUUGGCUUCCUGAUUCUAUAGGGAAGUUAUCUAGCCUGAUUCUUGGCUGUGGCCAUGGUGAAGAAGACACAUGCCUAUAAAAAUAAACUAAGGGCGUUGGAGCUUGAGCGCAGUGGUGGGAUUACAAAUAAGAAGGGUCAAAAGAAUAAGGACAGAUAUCAAAUGCUUACUUGCAGUUUCUGCGCGGAUUCGGCACCAAGAUCUUAUUUGAGUUUGUAAAGGAAAUGCCUAAGUCUGAGACCCCAAUUAGGAUUGAGAUAACAACUCUCCUGGGCAGUCUGUUCUUUACAUGGGUUGUCCUGCAACUUUUUCCGGGGUGGCAAUGGAGACUUGAUCCGGAUUAUGGUAUGCUGCAGGCUUUGCAGACGCUUCUAUUUAAAGCUGACUUGCUAGAAGAGUCGCUAUCUUAUGCCAUUGAAGGACCAGUGGCCCCGUAAUUAAAAUGUGCCCCUUUUGUUUGCACCAAAUUUAGAGCCGUAUGAAGGAAUGGAUUUUGCAUCAUUCGAAGAUGCAAAAAAUUACUAUACAAGUUAUGCAAGGAAGAAAGGUUUUAGCUUUCGCUUGGGCGUAUUAUUAAAUCAAGAACAAAUGGAUUGAUAAUUGGUCAGGAGAUUCUUUGUUCAAAGGAGGGGUUUCAACCUAAAAAGUAUGUAAAAGUUGCAGCACAUGAUGAAACAAGGGUAGGAUGCAAGGCAAUGAUAUUAUAUGUGAAGAAAAAUUAAGAUAUCCGGAUUAUCUCUAGAUUUAUAAGAGAGCAUAAUCAUGAGUUAUCAAUAUUUUGAUGAUGUUGUAACUUUUGAUCCAACGUAUUUAACAAAUGGAUAUAAAAUGCCUUUCGUUCCAUUCACCGGAGUUAAUCAUCAUCAACAAUCAAUUCUUUUUGGUUGUGCUUUAUUGGAGUUAAAUACUUGGUUAGAAGCAAUGUCCGGGGUAUGUCCUAAAACUAUUAUCACAUACCAGGCCAGUGCUAUCACUAAUGCAGUUGCAAGAGUGUUUCCGAAUGUUAAUCAUCAUUACUGUAUGUGGCGCAUUGAAAAAAAGUUCCAGAGUACUUGAGCGAAAUCCAUCAUGAACACAGUGAUUUUAAAAGUCAAUUUUACAAGUGUAUUCACCAAUCAAUCACUAAUCUGAUUGGGAAGCAAUGAUAGAUAAGUAUGGGUUGCAAGAUAAUCGGUGGCUUCAAAAGAUAUACUCUAUUAGAGAAAAAUGGAUUCCUGCUUAUGUACGUAACAAUUUUUGUGCUGGAAUGUCCACUACUCAAAGGAGUGAAAGUAUGAAUAAGUUCUUUAAGGAUUUUUUUUUAACUCUGGUACUCCAUUGAGCAAGUUUGUGACACAAUAUGACAAGGCUCUUGAUGCACGUUACAACAAGGAGAGGGAGAAGACUUUCAAGACAAUCAAUUCAAAACCAUUUUUGCGAACUUUAUAUCCUAUGGAAGAAGAAGCUUCAAAAUUCUAUACAAGAAAGUUAUUUAGAACUUUUCAGGAUGAGUUAGUUGGUUCUCGAAAGUUUAUUGCAUAGAAAAUUGAUUUUUCAAGUGAUUUUUCCACAUACAAGGUUCAUGAGAUUUACAAAGAAAAAAAACCUAGCUACUAUGUGACUUUUCAUAUCAUUUCUAAUGAAGCUAAUUGUAGUUGUCACAUGUUUGAAUUUUCGGGUAUUCUGUGUCAACAUGUGUUAAAUGUACUCCUAAGGAAAAAAAAUCUUUCUCUUCCUUCAGAUAUAUAUGCUUCGUCGUUGGAAUGUUGAUGCUAUAAAAGGGAAAGUUACAGGAUUGACUGCAGAUCAAUUUGAAGAAGGUAGCAACAAAUCUUCGAGUACUUUAUUGUUCAAUAGUAUUAUGGUUCAUUCUCUGGGAGUAUCUGAAAGAGGAUUUCAAAAGAUAAUUGAAGAUCUUGAUUUGUUGGAUCUUGAAGAUACAAAUGAAGAGCUUGGUAAUUCAACAUCUGAAGUUAUUUCAAAGUUCAGUAACAGUGAAAUAGUUGUGCGUGAUCCUCCACUUGUGGCCAGUAAAAGGCGUCCUCGAACUUUGAGAAUGAAAGGAAGCUUAGAAAAGCUCAGUAAAAGCAAGUUAUGCAGAAAGCUAAUAACGAUCAGGCAGCACCCAUAACUACUAUAAUCAGGAGCAUGUAGAAAAGUAGGAAUCUCAGAAAUUGGCAGUAGAUAGCAGAAACAAACAGCAGCAUUUUGGAGUGUGCGAAUCACUUGUUGGAGGAUUGGCAGUAUGUGAAUGGCAGGAAGCUUGGACAUGCUACUGGUUCAGCAAAUAAUAAUAUCAUAAACAACAUGACAGCAACACAGCAAGCACAAGGAAUCACAGAGCAACGGUGGCAGAAGCCGACAAGAGGAAGGUUAGAGUGUAACGUCGAUGCUUCACUCUCAAACUCCGUAACAAAGUGGGUACAGGAAUAUGUAUAAUUAAAUAAAUGGAUGAUUCUAUUAUGUGAGGAUAGUAUGCUUUAUUGAUAUGUUAUAGUAUCAUAUUAUGGGAGGUUAAAGGUUGUUUUUGGAUGAUUCUAUAGUAAAUGAUGCAUAAAGUUGUCAUAUCAAUGUUUUGAUUUUUAAUCAUAGAAAGGAAUAAGCUGAAAAAAGUUUGCAUA